AUGCAGUCGAGCGGUAGAGAGAAGCUUGCUUCUCUUGAGAGCGGCGGACGGGUGAGUAAUGCCUAGGAAUCUGCCUGGUAGUGGGGGAUAACGUUCGGAAACGGACGCUAAUACCGCAUACGUCCUACGGGAGAAAGCAGGGGACCUUCGGGCCUUGCGCUAUCAGAUGAGCCUAGGUCGGAUUAGCUAGUUGGUGAGGUAAUGGCUCACCAAGGCGACGAUCCGUAACUGGUCUGAGAGGAUGAUCAGUCACACUGGAACUGAGACACGGUCCAGACUCCUACGGGAGGCAGCAGUGGGGAAUAUUGGACAAUGGGCGAAAGCCUGAUCCAGCCAUGCCGCGUGUGUGAAGAAGGUCUUCGGAUUGUAAAGCACUUUAAGUUGGGAGGAAGGGCAGUUACCUAAUACGUGAUUGUUUUGACGUUACCGACAGAAUAAGCACCGGCUAACUCUGUGCCAGCAGCCGCGGUAAUACAGAGGGUGCAAGCGUUAAUCGGAAUUACUGGGCGUAAAGCGCGCGUAGGUGGUUUGUUAAGUUGGAUGUGAAAUCCCCGGGCUCAACCUGGGAACUGCAUUCAAAACUGACUGACUAGAGUGUGGUAGAGGGUGGUGGAAUUUCCUGUG
rnacentral:rRNA from 1 species